AACGAACGCUGGCGGCAUGCCUAACACAUGCAAGUCGAACGAGGCCCUUCGGGGUUUAGUGGCGCACGGGUGCGUAACGCGUGGGAAUCUGCCCUUAGGUUCGGAAUAACAGCUGGAAACGGCUGCUAAUACCGGAUGAUAUCGCGAGAUCAAAGAUUUAUCGCCUGAGGAUGAGCCCGCGUUGGAUUAGGUAGUUGGUGGGGUAAAGGCCUACCAAGCCGACGAUCCAUAGCUGGUCUGAGAGGAUGAUCAGCCACACUGGGACUGAGACACGGCCCAGACUCCUACGGGAGGCAGCAGUGGGGAAUAUUGGACAAUGGGGGAAACCCUGAUCCAGCAAUGCCGCGUGAGUGAUGAAGGCCCUAGGGUUGUAAAGCUCUUUUACCCGGGAAGAUAAUGACUGUACCGGGAGAAUAAGCCCCGGCUAACUCCGUGCCAGCCGCCGCAGUAAGAC
rnacentral:rRNA from 1 species